CCUACGGGAGACAGCAGUGAGGAAUAUUGGUCAAUGGACGAGAGUCUGAACCAGCCAAGUAGCGUGAAGGAUGACUGCCCUAUGGGUUGUAAACUUCUUUUAUAUGGGAAUAAAACGUUCCACGUGUGGGAUUUUGUAUGUACCAUAUGAAUAAGGAUCGGCUAACUCCGUGCCAGCAGCCGCGGUAAUACGGAGGAUGCGAGCGUUAUCCGGAUUUAUUGGGUUUAAAGGGAGCGUAGGUGGAUUGUUAAGUCAGUUGUGAAAGUUUGCGGCUCAACCGUAAAAUUGCAGUUGAAACUGGCAGUCUUGAGUACAGUAGAGGUGGGCGGAAUUCGUGGUGUAGCGGUGAAAUGCUUAGAUAUCACGAAGAACUCCGAUUGCGAAGGCAGUUCACUGGACUGCAACUGACACUGAGGCUCGAAAGUGUGGGUAUCAAACAGGAUUAGAUACCCUAGUAGUC
rnacentral:rRNA from 1 species